UAAUACAGAGGUGCCGAGCGUUAGGCGGAAUCACUGGGCUUAAAGCGCGUGUAGGCGGGUCGUUAAGUGUCCGCGUGAAAUCCCACGGCUCAACCGUGGAACUGCCGGGCAUACUGGCGACCUUGAGGCACUUAGGGGCGAGCGGAACAAAUGGUGGAGCGGUGAAAUGCGUAGAUAUCAUUUGGAACGCCGACGGUGAAAACAGCUCGCUGGGAGUGUCCUGACGCUGAGACGCGAAAGCCAGGGGAGCGAACGGGAUUAGAUACCCCGGUAGUCCUGGCCCUAAACGAUGUCCACUAGGUCGCGGCGGUUUUGACGCCGUCGCGGCCGGAGCAAAAGUGUUAAGUGGACCGCCUGGGAAGUACGGUCGCAAGGCUA
rnacentral:rRNA from 1 species